rnacentral:rRNA from 1 species
UACGUAGGGCGCAAGCGUUGUCCGGAAUUAUUGGGCGUAAAGAGCUCGUAGGUGGUUUGUUACGUCUGCUGUGAAAACCUAGGGCUUAACCCUGGGCCUGCAGUGGAUACGGGCAGACUAGAGUGUGGCAGGGGAGACUGGAAUUCCUGGUGUAGCGGUGAAAUGCGCAGAUAUCAGGAGGAACACCGGUGGCGAAGGCGGGUCUCUGGGCCAUAACUGACGCUGAGGAGCGAAAGCGUGGGGAGCGAACAGG